GCCCGGGUGGCUCAAUCAGUUAAGCGUCUGACUUCAACUCAGGUCAUGAUCUCAGUUUGUGGGUUUGAACCCCAUUUCGGGCU
rnacentral:tRNA from 1 species